rnacentral:rRNA from 1 species
UACGGGGGGGGCAAGCGUUGUUCGGAAUUACUGGGCGUAAAGGGCUCGUAGGCGGCCAACUAAGUCGGAUGUGAAAUCCCCAGGCUCAACUUGGGAACUGCAUCCGAUACUGGAUGGCUUGAAUUCGGGAGAGGGAUGCAGAAUUCCAGGUGUAGCGGUGGAAAUGACGUAGAUAUCUGGAGGAAUACCGGUGGCGAAGGCGGAUCUCUGGGCCAUUACUGACGCUGAGGAGCGAAAGCGUGGGGAGCAAACAGGG